UCCUCCAUGUCAUUGGCUUAAGGCUCAGUUCAGGAAGGGCUGAAGUAAGAAGCAGUUUAGUCAGAGGCAGUGUAGCAUCAUGGGGAGAGCAACGGACUUGGGUCAAUUUGAACUGCUGAACUUCACUGAGAUCAAAGGGCUGAGCACCAGAUGGGAUUUCUAGACCUUCAAGGAGUGAUGGAGAAAAUAUCCUUGGACAACUCACAACCUGGAAUUGGAAACCCUUUUACUAAUUGGAAUCUAACUGAAGAUAAAUGAGAAGCACUUUCAAUGUUCCGUUAACCAACUGUAUUUAUAAACCUAAAAACUCUGAAUCCUAUGAUCCAAGAAGACUAAGUGUUACCCAGGUCCCAAAGGGCAUGGAGCUUAUCAACUUAAAGAACUGCCUGAAUUGAUGUAAGGCAAAGUGAGCAAUAUCGUGAGAACGAUUUAUACCACAGUAACAACACUACAGAGAAAAACAAGUUCAAAACACUUCAGAACUCUGAUCAUUGCAAUGAUAAGCUAGUCCAAAAGGAUGAAGAUGAA